UCCCAGAAAUCCUUCCACAUGUGGAAAGAAGUCUGGUUUGGAAAACAAGACUCUGAUUGGAGAUGAAGCCCAGAGAAGCUACAGAGCCUUUACGGAGAAGUCCUCUUCAUUGUGCUCCAGCAGGGAAGAGAAGGACGCCAGGAAUCCUCCCGCUCGGAGGAUUGCAGGGCUGUUAGACACCUGCCGCGCUCCCGGCCCAGCUGCUGCUCUGCCCUGCAUGGGCUGGGAGGAAGUGAUCAGCCUCGAGAGGGGCUUGCUCUGCACACCAGUCCCUACCGGGUGAGGCGGAGGCCGGCGGACACAGCUGAUGCGAGGCCACACUGGCAGCUUGAGGACCGGCAGCUGGCAGUGAAGACCUCGUCCUAUUGUGAGGGAGGUGUCAAGAGGCCCACUGUUUUCUCCCAGAGCCCCACACCCCAAGUCCUGCUGCAACCUGAGUGUAAUUAAAGCUGGAGCUGUGAGACA